CUCUUAUAUUUAUUCUGCUUUACUUUAUUUUAUUUGUUUUUAGCAAUCUUUGCCUUUUGGCAUGACAAUGUGUCGCAGCCAGACAACAGAAAGAAAGAAAAAAAAAAUUCACCUCUGGCAGGACAAGUUACAAUGUAUGGUCCUAAUGACCAAAAAUAUCUAACUAAAAAACAAGGCUAAGAAGGUGAUAGUUUCAAACUCCACACGUAAUUGUGAAGAAAAAGAGGAAAGUGCCAAACAUAUUGAAAACAUUCUCUCUGCGCUCUGUUGAAUUCUAGUGUUGAUUGAUUGUUUCUUUCGAGUCCAGAUAUUCUCCAGCUCUCCCUCCGAUCAACGGUCAGGAUUUGACCACGUCAUCCCUAACAAAAGCUACGGCUCAGAUUAGCUAACAAAAAAAAUAAAUAAAUAAAUAAAAUUGAAUUCAGCACAGCAAAUCAGUGACAAAACAAAAAUUUCCAGUUGAAAGAGACAACAAACAAAAAAAGAGAGAUAAACAAAAAAGGAGAGAGGGGGAGGGAGGGUUGUCCAGCGACUACCGUCCGGCGAUCGCCGGCAAUUUCAGCAGCAACUAAUAGCAGUAACUUCAGCACAAAAAAUGACAAAAAAAAAAAAAAAAAAGCGGCAAAACAGCACCAACACAGCAGCACUUUCAGCACAAAAUAACAGCAAAUCAGCAACAUUUUCAGCAGCAACAAAUAAGAUUAAUUUCAGCACAAAAAAUGACCAAAAA